rnacentral:tRNA from 1 species
AGUUAAUGAACUUGAUUAAAGUUUAUAUUUUGAAAAUAUAACAAAGAAAUUAAAAAUUUUCUAUUAACUU